AUGAACGCUAGCGACAGGCUUAACACAUGCAAGUCGAGGGGCAGCGGGGGUAGCAAUACCCGCCGGCGACCGGCGCACGGGUGAGUAACGCGUAUGCAACUUACCUAUCAGAGGGGGAUAACCCGGCGAAAGUCGGACUAAUACCGCAUGAAGCAGGGGCCCCGCAUGGGGAUAUUUGCUAAAGAUUCAUCGCUGAUAGAUAGGCAUGCGUUCCAUUAGGCAGUUGGCGGGGUAACGGCCCACCAAACCGACGAUGGAUAGGGGUUCUGAGAGGAAGGUCCCCCACAUUGGUACUGAGACACGGACCAAACUCCUACGGGAGGCAGCAGUGAGGAAUAUUGGUCAAUGGGCGUAAGCCUGAACCAGCCAAGUCGCGUGAGGGAUGAAGGUUCUAUGGAUCGUAAACCUCUUUUAUAAGGGAAUAAAGUGCGGGACGUGUCCCGUUUUGUAUGUACCUUAUGAAUAAGGAUCGGCUAACUCCGUGCCAGCAGCCGCGGUAAUACGGAGGAUCCGAGCGUUAUCCGGAUUUAUUGGGUUUAAAGGGUGCGUAGGCGGCCUUUUAAGUCAGCGGUGAAAGUCUGUGGCUCAACCAUAGAAUUGCCGUUGAAACUGGGAGGCUUGAGUAUGUUUGAGGCAGGCGGAAUGCGUGGUGUAGCGGUGAAAUGCUUAGAUAUCACGCAGAACCCCGAUUGCGAAGGCAGCCUGCCAAGCCAUGACUGACGCUGAUGCACGAAAGCGUGGGGAUCAAACAGGAUUAGAUACCCUGGUAGUCCACGCAGUAAACGAUGAUCACUAGCUGUUUGCGAUACAGUGUAAGCGGCACAGCGAAAGCGUUAAGUGAUCCACCUGGGGAGUACGCCGGCAACGGUGAAACUCAAAGGAAUUGACGGGGGCCCGCACAAGCGGAGGAACAUGUGGUUUAAUUCGAUGAUACGCGAGGAACCUUACCCGGGUUUGAACGCAUUCGGACCGAGGUGGAAACACCUUUUCUAGCAAUAGCCGUUUGCGAGGUGCUGCAUGGUUGUCGUCAGCUCGUGCCGUGAGGUGUCGGCUUAAGUGCCAUAACGAGCGCAACCCUUGCCACUAGUUACUAACAGGUAAAGCUGAGGACUCUGGUGGGACUGCCAGCGUAAGCUGCGAGGAAGGCGGGGAUGACGUCAAAUCAGCACGGCCCUUACAUCCGGGGCGACACACGUGUUACAAUGGCGUGGACAAAGGGAAGCCACCUGGCGACAGGGAGCGAAUCCCCAAACCACGUCUCAGUUCGGAUCGGAGUCUGCAACCCGACUCCAUGAAGCUGGAUUCGCUAGUAAUCGCGCAUCAGCCACGGCGCGGUGAAUACGUUCCCGGGCCUUGUACACACCGCCCGUCAAGCCAUGGGAGCCGGGGGUACCUGAAGUCCGUAACCGCGAGGAUCGGCCUAGGGUAAAACUGGUGACUGGGGCU
rnacentral:rRNA from 1 species